AACCCAGUCAAUUAAAUAAUUUUUAAAAAAAUCAGGUGUCAACGACGCGUGCAUCUUUUCUUACCUUAGAGCCCACUCCCUCUCCAUCUCACUUUCUCUUUCAUUUUAUCGCGUCUUCACUUUCCGGGAAAAUUCUCUUCUCUCUCUCCCCCAUAUAAAUACAGCACACUAACUCCAAUUUCACCAUCCUCUAUCUCGCUCCAGUUUUCAACUAAACAGGUCUCUGGUUCCUCUCCUCUCUCAUACAUACCCAAACCAAACCCACCUCAACUUGUUCUGUUUACACAGAUUAUUUUUCUUUUUUCUUUAAUCCGAAAUUAUCUUAAUUAAUUAGGAAAUGAAUUCAGCCAAACCACUUGCUCUUCCAAUAAUUGGGUUUUUUUUGUUGAUUCUGAUGAAACUGAGUUAUGGACAGAGCACAACAGCUCCUUCUCCGGUAGCACAGGGUCCAUCCAGCGAUGGACAAGCUAUUGAUCAAGGAAUCGCUUAUGUUCUUUUAGCUUUGGCUCUGGCAAUCACAUACUUAAUACACUGAGUUUUGGUCUUAAUUCUAUAAUCAGAUGAAUUUAUAUUGUAUAUUGUAUAUUAAUUCAUAUUCUUUUAUGAUUUUUUUCUCUCUCUCCUUUUAUUUAGUUUGGAGGAAUAUAAGCAGUACUUUUGUGAUAUGUAAGCAAAAUGAGACAAUAAAACAAAGUAUUUAUUCUUUAUUUAAAAAAAA